UGCCCCCGUAGCUUAAAGCAGAGCGUUGUUCUAUCACAAAGGUGGCGGUGCGAUUCCGCCCAGGGCAA
rnacentral:tRNA from 1 species